UCGAAGAAAAUUAAGUUUUCA
ensembl:piRNA 21ur-577 ncRNA